rnacentral:rRNA from 1 species
UCUAAGGCCCCUAAAUAAUUGCUAAGUGGCAAAGGAAGUAAGAAUGCAUAUACAACCAGGAGGUUUGCUUAGAAGCAGCAAUCCUUUAAAGAGUGCGUAAUAGCUCACUGGUCUAGUGAUCUUGCACCGAAAAUGAACGGGACUAAGUAAUUUGCCGAAGAUGUGGGAUGUUGUACAUCGGUAGGGGAGCGUUCUGUUGUAGUUUGAAGCACUAACGAAAGUGGGUGUGGACGAAUCAGAAGUGAGAAUGUCGGCUUGAGUAGCGAAAACAUUGGUGAGAAUCCAAUGCCCCGAAAACCUAAGGUUUCCUUUGGAAGGUUCGUCCUCGAAGGGUAAGUCAGGGCCUAAGGCGAGGCUGAAAAGCGUAGUCGAUGGAUAACAGGUUAAUAUUCCUGUACUAUUUAUUACUGAUAUUAAGGGACGGAGAAGGCUAAAUCAUCCGGAUGUUGGUUACCGGUUUAAAUUUUCGAGACGUUGAGAAAUGGAGAAAACAUUUUGAGUUAAGAGGUGAAUACAAGAUACUAUGGUAUUAAAGUGAUUAAUGUCAUACUUCCAAGAAAAUCUUAUCAUAUCUUAAGUAAUAAAUACCUGUACCUUAAACCGACACAGGUAGGUUAGUAGAGUAUACUAAGGGGCGCGAGAUAACUCUCUCUAAGGAACUCGGC